rnacentral:rRNA from 1 species
UACGUAGGGUGCGAGCGUUAAUCGGAAUUACUGGGCGUAAAGCGUGCGCAGGCGGUUUUGUAAGACAGGCGUGAAAUCCCCGGGCUCAACCUGGGAAUUGCGCUUGUGACUGCAAGGCUGGAGUGCGGCAGAGGGGGAUGGAAUUCCGCGUGUAGCAGUGAAAUGCGUAGAUAUGCGGGAGGAACACCGAUGGCACGAAGGCAAUCCCCUGGGCCUGCACUGACGCUCAUGCACGAAAGCGUGGGGAGCAAACAGG